UACGUAGGGUGCGAGCGUUAAUCGGAAUUACUGGGCGUAAAGCGUGCGCAGGCGGUUAUUUAAGUCAGGUGUGAAAGCCCUGGGCUUAACCUAGGAAUUGCGCUUGAGACUGGAUAGCUUGGAGUGCGGCAGAGGGAGGUGGAAUUCCACGUGUAGCAGUGAAAUGCGUAGAGAUGUGGAGGAACACCGAUGGCGAAGGCCGCCUCCUGGGCCAGCACUGACGCUCAUGCACGAAAGCGUGGGGAGCAAACAGG
rnacentral:rRNA from 1 species